rnacentral:rRNA from 1 species
UGAGGAAUUUUGGACAAUAGACGCAAGCCUGAUCCAGCCAUGCCGCGUGCGGAAAGAAGACCUUCGGGUUGUAAACCGCUUUUGUCGGAGAAGAAAAGCCUUAAGUUAAUACCCUGAGGUGAUGACGGUACCCGAAGAAUAAGCACCGGCUAACUACGUGCCAGCAGCCACAGUAAUACGUAGGGUGCAAGCGUUAAUCGGAAUUACUGGGCGUAAAGCGUGCGCAGGCGGUUGUGUAAGACAGAUGUGAAAUCCCCAGGCUCAACCUGAGAACUGCAUUUGUGACUGCACAGCUGGAGUGCGACAGAGGAGGAUAGAAUUCCGCGUGUAGCAGUGAAAUGCGUAGAUAUGCGGAGGAACACCGAUGGCGAAGGCAAUCCCCUGGGCCUGCACUGACGCUCAUGCACGAAAGCGUGGAGAGCAAACA